rnacentral:rRNA from 1 species
GAUCAUGGCUUAGGAUGAACGCUAGCUACAGGCUUAACACAUGCAAGUCGAGGGGAAACGACAUCGAAAGCUUGCUUUUGGUGAGCGUCGACCGGCGCACGGGUGAGUAACGCGUAUCCAACCUGCCCACCACUUGGGGAUAACCUUGCGAAAGUAAGACUAAUGUCCUAUGUUGUUCUUUGCAGACAUCUAAAGAGAACGAAAGAUUUAUCGGCUAUGGAUGGGGAUGCGUCUGAUUAGGUAGUUGGCGGGGCAACGGCCCACCAAGCCGACGAUGGAUAGGGGUUCUGAGAGGAAGGUCCCCCACACUGGUACUGAGACACGGACCAGACUCCUACGGGAGGCAGCAGUGAGGAAUAUUGGUCAAUGGGCGAGAGCCUGAACCAGCCAAGUCGCGUGAGGGAUGACGGCCCUACGGGUUGUAAACCUCUUUUAUAAGGGAAUAAAGGACAUCACGAGUGGUGUUUUGCAUGUACCUUAUGAAUAAGCAUCGGCUAACUCCGUG